rnacentral:rRNA from 1 species
CAGUAGCCGCGGGAAUACGAAGGGUGCAAGCGUUACUCGGAAUUACUGGGCGUAAAGCGUGCGUAGGUGGUGGUUUAAGUCCGUUGUGAAAGCCCUGGGCUCAACCUGGGAAUUGCAGUGGAUACUGGAUCACUAGAGUGUGGUAGAGGAUAGUGGAAUUUCCGGUGUAGCAGUGAAAUGCGUAGAGAUCGGAAGGAACAUCUGUGGCGAAGGCGACUAUCUGGGCCAACACUGACACUGAGGCACGAAAGCGUGGGUAGCAAACAGGAUUAGAUACCCCGGUAGUCCCUGUCUCUUAUAC